rnacentral:lncRNA from 1 species
GGAAGUGUACAAAGUUGCAAAACAUUUGAGUUCAUAACAGAGGCAUGUCGUACCUUGCAAAUGUAGCAGUGUGCCACUCAUGCUUCAUCACGGCGACAUGACCAGUCAUUUCGAUGGGGGCUGCAUGGGCUGUGGUUUAUUCUCCCAACAAUGCAGACUGAAAAACUGUCUGAACUGCGGAAGUGCAAACUGCAGCGAAUAACAAUGUGAUGACUUGAUUUUGGUAAUCCACUGGCCGGACAGAUAUCGCGCGAUAAAAAAGGAACCGGACAGAUAUCCGCGUGUCAUAAUAUAAAUAGCACUGGAAGCUAUGUCUUCAGCAACAGAUUUUUCAGAAAAAUGGCAUGGAAAACAACAAAUGUUUUUGUAGAUACGUGAUAGGCAACAGAGUUUCUUAAGAUGGAGGUGGGAACUGAAGAACGAUGGUCAUUUGAUCAGCCUCAACAGCUUUUCCCAAUCUCGCCAUGCAAUUUGGCGACCAAAGUACCAUCUAGCAUGGCAAAUACAUUGGAUCGGUGAAAAAUUAUCAUGCUGUAACUUUAGGACUAAGCGUGUGAAAGGGUGGGAUCUUGAGGAAAUGUGAGGGGAAAUGGAUUAAGCAUUGUCACACUGUGUAUUGUGUAAUCGAUGGAGCUAAUUCUUUUCUUGUACUUUGUUCUGCUCCACUACUAAUAAAAGGAAAGAAUAAGCACUGUUUCAUUUGCUGGAAACUUAUAAAAUUUGCUCCUUGGCUUGUCUGACAAUCUUGCAGUUAUCUUAAUAAAGCAAAAUAAAAAAAGGUGGGUCAUAUCGUACAAGAAUAAAAUAAGCAUGCUCGUCAUGAUUUUGAUUUGCUACUAAUACAUACAAAACCCAUGAUGUGCUUGCACACCAGGGCAGGCAAUAUAAAUACGUACGAGUCUUAUCAGUUACUGAAAUGACCAGGUAGCAUAGACAGACUCCAAUUGUGCAACUGGUGGAAAACAAAGGAGCAACAUCUUUGUUUCACAUAGCAAUUAAGCAAGUUUUUGGAGUGAUUCUUUUGAGGAUUUAGUUUUGUUUAGAUGUAGAAUGGUACUCGCUGAUAAUAUAGAGCCAGAGUUUUACGUUUAAUAUAGUGUGUAAACCUAUUUCGGUUUACGGACAGCUGCAGCUUGAUAUUGACAGAGAAAACAGACCAGGGUUAGAUGUUGGAGGAAGCCAAAAUGGUCUUGGGAAGUAUGCUAAAUUUGGACAACAGAGCCAUAGAACAGAAGCCGUUUCUCAGCAUGUAGAUAUGAAGCCUGGUGCAAACAAUCUCAAUCUCCUUAUACUGUCGGUGUGCAGUGUGCACCGAGGCAGAUCUCCCCCUACAGUAUGGUGGGCUGUCGGCAUCAAGCGGCUGAGCGGGACCGAGCGAAGAAGACGAUGAACAGAAAGCAACGCUGAAUUGCUGAUGCACCUGGACGCGGU